CGCGUAGGCGGUUAUUUAAGUCAGGGGUGAAAACUCUGGGCUCAACUCAGAGCCUGCCUCUGAAACUGGAUGACUUGAGGGCAGGAGAGGGGAGUGGAAUUCCCAGUGUAGCGGUGAAAUGCGUAGAUAUUGGGAGGAACACCAGUGGCGAAGGCGACUCUCUGGCCUGUUACUGACGCUGAGGCGCGAAAGCGUGGGGAUCAAACAG
rnacentral:rRNA from 1 species